UGAGAGAUGUCCAGUUUGUAGCUGAACAUGCGGCAUAGAGAACACCAUCAAGGGGACCCUCAGCAUCAUGCAGAUAUGCCCUCGCUGUGAACAUUUCUAUAAAUGGAACAGGGAGGACUCUUCAGUAUCUAUGAUGAGGGGCCAGGAGCUGAUCUAUACUGCCAUGCACAUUAAUGGGGCGCUGGCAAAAACCUUACCUCCAGCUUCACCUCUUGCCUGAUCACCAAUGGUUGUCGAUGGGGAGACCAGAAUUAGCGCUCUAGGUCGCCAUGCUCCCACACCUCAGCCAGAUUGACAGGUUCCCGCGCCUUAGCAGAGGUGACCGGUCCGCUCCUGAUCCCCGGGAUCGUCAUUUUUAUUCGGCAUGUCGGGAAGGGGGUACUGUCAUGUGUGCUCCCUCUCCGGCUUCUAGGUCACCAGGCUGCUGUCACCAUCGUCAGGUGCACCUGCGCGUCAGACUCACCUGGACUCCAUCACCUCCCUGAUUUCCUUGGUUCCUUCCCGAGGCGGUGUUUCAUGUCUGUGUGCUGUUAGUGUUUCUUGUUUUGUAUUAUGUUCUGUUUAUUGAAACACUCACUCCCUGAACUAGCUUCCCAACUCUCAGCGCACAUUGUUACACAUACAACCUUCCCACAAUGUUCUGGGAAUGAUGCAGAAAAGUUGUUUGGCUUUGGAAAAUUCUCAGCACAUUUAAGGAACUUGAUAAAUGUUAUUUUCUUGGUAUGUCAUUACUCUAACAGAAUGUUUCCUAAAAGGUCAAGCAUGGUUACAUUUAAUUUAGGUUUUGAGAAUGUUCUAGGAACCUUCUGACUGGUUUGACAUUGGGAAUGUUCUCAGAUGGAAGCAUGAAACCUGCAGAAAACAAUUUAUAGUUCAAUUGUUUACACACGUUUGCUGAAUCUUUGGCCCAUUUUCCCCAAAACUCUAGCAAAAGCAAACACUGCAUUCAAAACUUCUUUCCCAAAUGUUUUUUUUUUUGUAUCAAAAUGACGCGUCAUAUGAAUAGAUCUGUCUACCAACAACACACUGAUGUGCUCAACACAAAACACUAUAAAUAUCCCAACAAACACAAUACCGUAACAAACAUUUAUUUCCAAAAUGCAGUAUUUUUGAACACUUGUGUUUUGUAUGUAACACUUUCAUACCCAACAGGAGAAACAUUGAGUAAGAUGAAGGGUUUUCUGUACAAUAUAUAUAUAUUUUUUUAAGUGGCUCAUUCUUUCAAAACUCUAAACAGAAAAAGACAAACACAUGCGAAAUGUAAUUAAAGACAUUAGGCAGCAUCCUGCCUCUAUUUUGGUCUGACCACAGC